GACGAACGCUGGCGGCAUGCCUAAUACAUGCAAGUCGAGCGGACAGAAGGGAGCUUGCUCCCGGAAGUCAGCGGCGGACGGGUGAGUAACACGUGGGCAACCUGCCCCUUAGAUUGGGAUAACUUCGGGAAACCGAAGCUAAUACCGAAUAAUACAAGGAACCUCCUGGUUCUCUGUUGAAAGAUGGCCUUUGUGCUGUCACUAAGGGAUGGGCCCGCGGCGCACUGGCUAGUUGGUAAGGUAACGGCUUACCAAGGCGACGAUGCGUAGCCGACCUGAGAGGGUGAUCGGCCACACUGGGACUGAGACACGGCCCAGACUCCUACGGGAGGCAGCAGUAGGGAAUCUUCCGCAAUGGACGAAAGUCUGACGGAGCAAUGCCGCGUGAGUGAGGAAGGCCUUCGGGUCGUAAAGCUCUGUUGUGAGGGAAGAACAAGUACCGGCGUAACUACCGGUACCGUGACGGUACCUCACCAGAAAGCCACGGCUAACUACGUGCCAGCAGCCGCGGUAA
rnacentral:rRNA from 1 species